rnacentral:snRNA from 1 species
ACGCUCAGGCCUCUCCGCAUGCGCAUUAAUUUUUCGCCUUUUACUAAAGAUUACCGUGCGGAGGGGCGCCCAAAUGAGCUUCUAGGCCAAUUUUUGGGAGGCCUUGCCCGUUUGGGCGAGG